rnacentral:lncRNA from 1 species
GGAGUAUAGCUCAUGCUUGAAUGCGUACAAGAAGCCACCUCCAUCAGCCGGUUGUUGCCAAAAGAUGAAGGAACAAGCACCAUGCUAUUGCGAGUACAUGAAGAUAGAAGAUGUCAAACGUGUUUUUGACAGAGUUGAGAUUGCGAAGAUGGCUAAAUUGUGUGGAGUUUCAUAUUCUUCCACCUGCUAGAAUCCCGUUUGGUUUCAUUUGACUAUCUCUGGCUGGGAUAACCUAGCAUCUCAAUAAAUGAAAUUUUAUUUGAAAACUAUUUUUUUACUCAUAAUUUCGACUAUAAUGUACUUGUGUUCUUUUUUUUUUUAGAAUGAUACUGGUGUUUUGCUAUUAUUUACCUUUAUUGUCUUGAUUCAUGUUACAUAUGUGCAAAAAGAACUACAGAAUGAUCUAGAUUUUAUUUGAACCGUACUGGAUUGGUUGGAUUGGAAACUGAUCUGGAUAGUGGUAUAAUUAGAGGGGUUAGAUUGGUUGACCCACGAACCAAUAGGGAGUAUUUGAAUCGAUUUUCUCUAUUUCUUAAAAAAUAUUUUUAUAUUUAUUUUAAUCUUUAAGUAAUUUAUUUAAUCAAACUAGAUGAACAGGUCGAAAUAAAAAAUAGUUAUUUAGCUGAUUUAACCACCGGUCCAGUUCUGAAAACAUUGUUAUAGUUAAAAAAAAAACAAGAGAAAUGAGUUGAGUAGAUCAAAUUAUUAUAUUAUAAAAAUAUAUGUUAUUUGAAUAUUUAUUUGGGUAAAAUACACUAGUAGUGACUCAACUUUUAGUAAAUUUCUUUUUUUAGCUCCAGAUAGCUAAUGGUGACAACUAGACUUAUUAAUUGGCCGAGUUACCUGCCUAGGCCCGAUGGUCUACUCGAAAAAUGGAAGGAUUUGGACAAAUAUAUGAUGCUAAAAAAUGGGCUUGGGUAAAAUUUAAUGCCUAUUUUCUAUAUGGGUCAGGAGCUGUAAUAAAUUUUUUUGACCCGAGCCCAAUCCGACCUGAAUAUAUUAUGUUAUAACAAAUAAUUAUACUAAUUAUAUAUGUUAACUAAUAAUUAUAUAUUUUUUUAUAUUUAUAUUAAAUUACUAAUGCAAUAACAACUAAACCCAUUACCCAAAACCUAAAAAAAAAAACUUACCCAAGUAAAUCAUUGGCUUCAACUAUACCUAAAGCCCGUCAAUUAUUUAACCAUAGACAUAUUUUAGUUAAUGGCAUACAAUAGAUUUACCAAGUUAUCGUUGCAAGCCUAGCAAUAUUAUUUUAGUGAGGGAUGAACAAAAUUCUAGAACUCUGAUUCAAAAUUAUCUUGAUUCAUCCACCAAUGAGGAAUUACCAAAACAUUUAACCCUUCACACAUUACUAUAUAAGUGAUUAGUCAAUCAAAUAAUAGAUAGGAAAUGGGUUGGUUUGAAAAUAAAUGGAUUGUUUGUCGUAGAAUAUUAUUCUCGUCAGAACUCAAAAUAUAUAAUUUUAAAAAUUAUAUUUAAUACAAUAAAACAUAUAUUGUAUUUAUUCUAGUAUUUUUUAAUGAAUUUUUAAUGUGGUAUUAAACUCUUAGUUGAUGAAACUUGUUAGGUUCAAUAGACUAUUAAAUCAUUAAUUCUGAAGCCAUUAAUCAUAUUUGUGUUUAUUGUAGGGUUCAAGUAAAUGAGAAGCCUUCGUGGCAAGGAUCUCUCAUUGCGAAUUGGAGAUGGGACAAAUGUAGCGACAAAAGUAGUGGGAGAAGUACAUUUGUAUUUUGAUAAUUUUAGGAAAAUUAUUUUAAAUGGCAUUUUUAUGUACCUAGUUUUAGGAGAAAUUUAAUUUCUAUUGCAUGUUUAUUUAAAGAAGGUUUUUCUGUGGCUUUUAAUAAAGGGAUUGCAAUUCAUAAAAUCAUGUUCUUAUCCAUAAUGGAUGGGUGCAAAAUAAUAUUUAUUUUCUUACACAAAAGAGCUACUCACAGCUUGAAACCAAACUUGUGAAUAAAAAACUUGAAACUUCACACUCUGAUUCUUAUGAUAUUUAAUACUUAACCGCGUUAAACAAGAAAGAUUGAAUAAAAUUUUUAAAGAUGAGAUUUUAGGUUUACUUAAAGUGAUACAUCUUCCACAAUGUGAAUCUUGCUUGAAACGUAAAAUAACCAAGCAAUCUUCUAAUGCAAAAGGUACAAGGAUUGUUCAAUCAUUCAAACUUUUGCAUACCGACGUAUGUGGUCCUAUGAACGUUAGUGUAAGAUUUGGCUACAAUUAUUAUGUAAAAUUUUUAGAUAUUUAUUCCAGAUACUAGCUAGUAUGUGUACCUAAUGCAUCAUAAGAGUGAAACUUUUAAAAAAAUUCAAGAGUUUAGUGUGAAAGUGGAGAAACAAUUAGGUUUACCCAUUAAGGCACUUCGGUUUGACCGACGUGGGGAAUACUUAUCGGACGAGUUCAUAAGAUACCUCAUAGAGAAUGAGAUACUAUCCCAAUUAACUGUGCAGGGUACUCCACAACAGAAUGGCAUGACAGUGAGAUGGAACAAAACCUUGCUUGAUAUGAUUUAUUUAAUGUUAAGUUAUUCAAAACUUCCAAUAUCAUUCUCAGAGUAAGCAUUACUACCAACUUGAGAUAUUUUAAAUUACAUAAAAACCAAGGAAGCACCUCAGAAUCCAUACGAAAUGUGGCAUGACAUGAAGCCAAGCCUAAAUCAUUUUAGGAAUCGGGGAUGCCCAACUUACGUGUUGGCUAAAGAUGCAAAAAAGUUGGAAGCACGAAUAGAAUUUUGCAUGCUUGUUGGUUGUCCAAAACGGAGUAAGGGUGGAUAAAUUUAUAAUCCAAAAGACAAAAAGGUUAAGGUUUCGACUUAUGCUACUUUCCUUGAGGAAAUCUACAUUAAAAAUUUUAAACCUCGAAGUAGAUUGUUACUUCAAAAAAUUUCAGGAAAAUGAGCUUAUUUUUUGAUGACUUGUAAGUCAUUUUUCGUGAAUAAACGCAGCUAAAGGAAAAUGAAUAAUAGGAUAAUAAUUUUAUAAACAACGAUCUAAAAUAUUUUACUCAUACCAUCAUUUUGAUUGAUUUUAUUAGUGAUUUUUAUUUUCUAUUCUACUUUUUUUAGCGACUCUUUAAAUAAUUGAGACCAAUAAAAAAAACUGUAACAACUAAAAUUAAAAAUUUAAUAUUCUAAAAAAAACCAUAUAUUUUAAUUUAAAUUUUAAAUUUAAAUUGUUAAAAGAUUAAGCUAUUUUCUCGGCUUUGUAGGCACGUUUCAAUUUUUUUUACCACAAAUUAUCUCCCUCACAAAAAUAGUAAACCUAACAAUAUCCUUUUACAAAAUUUACACAUUUACACGUAUUGUCCAAAACUCUCGACAACUAAUAAUCCAAUUGCUAUAAAUUGUGCAAAAGAUCAUUGGAAAAAACACAUCAUCACAAAUUACCAUUAUUAGUCAGCCAACUGGCUAAUUUUUUUUUUGAAAAAACAUGAAGAGGUUUUCCCUUAUUGUUUUGUGCAUGGUGACUCUAGUGGUGGUGGUGUUUUCGAGUGCAGAUAAUAUGAUAGUAUAAAAAUUUCGUUAAGAAAUUUUGUCGUUUGUAUGCUUAAUUUGUGAAAAAGGACUAAAUCGCGUAAAGUGUAAAAGUUGUGUUCUAUUAGCUAAAAGUGUUAAAUAGCUAUAUAACUUUAAAGUGGAGGUCCUUAUAUGGUAUCUAGACCACUAAUUGAGUUAUUGGAUGUGCAUGACAUGGUAUUUUUGAAAUUUUUAAAGUUUGGUAAGAGUGAAUAGGUAAUUAGGAAAUUAAAGGUUAAAAAUUUAAUAUAACAAAAUAGUAAUCAUCUUUCUUCUUCAACCUACCAAAAAUUUCAUUAAACAUUGGGGUUUUGAAGCUUUGAAAUUCAGCUAAGCUCUCCCUUGCAUGGUGAGUGAUUUUUGUUUCGUUUUUAUUGGUUUUUAUGUUUCCGGGAUUAUUGUAGCUUAACCUAGCUAGCCCGGGGACUAAUUUGCAAAAUAGUUGAAGGUUUAGGGUUUUACCAUUGAUUAAUAUGUUAGGAUUUUGAAAUUUAAUGAAAGAAAAUUAAUCAUUGUUGUGAGAUAAACACUUUUUGUUAAGUGAUUUUGAUAAAAUUGUCAAAUAGAGGCUAAAUUAAGAAAUGGGAAAAUUGUGUGUUAAAUGUGUGAAAUUGUUAAUUUUCUGAGCUGCUGUAUGCACAUAUGAAAUUCGACUAGGCUUAUAUAGGGAUGAAAUUGCAUAAAUUUCAUUUUACGAGCCUAAGGACUAAUUUGUAAAGAAGUUAAAUAUUUAGGGGGAAAUGGUAAUUUUGCCAUAACUUGAAAUUUGGAUUGAAUUGAAUAGAAUAAUGAUUAAAUUUGUUAAAUUUGAUUAUAUAGAUCAAGAAAAGCGACGUACGGAAUUAGAUCGAGGGAAAGAUAAAGUUAUCGUUUAAACAAUCAUUUUUCGUCGUACGAGUUCAAGGUAAGUUCGUGUAAUUGCAUUGUGUAUUUGUAUACUUUAAUUGAAAUAUAUGUUUUUGGAUUGUGUAAUCAUGAUGUAUAAUUAUCGAACUUAUAACCGAGGUAGUACGAAGAAUAUAGAGUCCCGUUUGAACCUUAGGAAUUCGUAGGAUACAAAUGACAUGUCAUUAGGGUUACCGAUUUGGUUGUGGUCAUGCAUGUGUUGCGGACACACCACAACUCGUAUGAGCUUAUCGAUUUCAACUCGUGAGAGCUUACCGAUUCACAGCUCGGAGGAGCUUACCGUUUAUCACUUGUAUUAGCAUACAUUUACAAGAAUUGACGGAUUUACAGUUUAGUACAUCUCGCGCGUGCUACCCUCAUAUCUAACGAUAUUCUAAGUGGCUCAACGGGCAUAGUGAUAUUACGAGAUUACACAAGUUUAAUACGAACUAGUACAGGUAUUUACAUGAAAAUGGGUUAUAUAUGAUAUACGGAUACACGGUAUAGAUGGUACAUGUACAUUAAAUUUAAUAAUUGUUGAAUUCAUACAUGAUUCUCGGUUUUAUAUGAAUACAUGGCUAACUUGGUUAAUGGUUAUGUGAUAGGCUUUGCCAAAUUGAAUUAUGUUAUGCUUUGAGUUAUUUACCUAAAUUUGUGGUUAAAUGGUAAGUUUAAUUCUGUAUUAUACGAACUUAUUAAGCUUAAUUGCUUACUCUGUUUAUUUUCUCGUGUUUUAUAGAGAUUCGAAAGCUCGUUUGGAUUGGAAGUUGUCAGAGACCACAUCACACUAUCAAACUUUAUUUUGGUACUUUUGACUUUAUAUUUUGGGUUAAAUGGCAUGUAUAGGUCAUUUUGGCUAAUGGUAGCCUUUAUGUUUUAUUGUGUAUUUAGCCAUUUGAUUUGGCUUGAAUUUGGUAUAUUUUGUUAUGUAAAUAUGUAAAUGGCCUUAUUGUAUAUGAUAUACGAUUGUCAUGUAAUGCUUUGUUUGUGAAUUGGUAUUAGGGUACCAAAUGGUUGAAGUUAAAAUGUGGUAUCAUGUUCAAUUUAGGCACUAGAUCUCAUAGGUGAGGUUGACCAUUUAGGUAUACUUUGGAAGUAUAUUUGGUAUGUUUUAAAGUGAUCAUUUGAAUGUGUUUAUGGAUAUCACGUUGUAUGUGUGAAAUUACAUAUUAUAAACUUGAUAUUGGUUGGUUUUAAGUGUCUAAUUAUGCCUUGGUUCUAUACAAAUUGAUGUGUAUAGGUUGGUAUCAAUAUGGGUGAGGAAUAUGACUUGGAAAAUGGCUUAUUUUUGUCCACACGGGCAGAGACACGGGCGUGUUUCUCAGCUGUUUGUGACAUACGGUUAGGUGACACGACCAUGUGUCCCGUGAUACUUCUAUACAAAUCAAGUCAGUAGCUUCACACAACCUAGCACACGGUCGUGUGGCUUGGCCGUGUGGCACAAGUCAGUAGACUCUCCAGUUUUCACACGGUUUGGCACACGGGCGUGUGAGGUCAUUUCGAAUGGUACACGGCUUGGCACACAGGUGUGUGGUUGACUGUGUGACCCAAGUCAGUGAGUUACACGGGGUUGGACACGGGCGGAGACACGACUGUGUGAUCCCAUUUCGAAUGCCCACACGGGCAUGUCUCUUGGCCGUGUGAGACACACAGCUUAGCCACACGGGCAUGUGUCCCCUGCACAUUGAACAUUUCAAUGUUUUCCUAAAAAUUCCUUGAGUACUCGGUUUAGUCCUAAACCACUUUUAAUGUUUAUGUAGGGCCUUGAGGGCUCGUAUUAGGGACUAUAUGAAAGAAUUUGAAUGGCUUUUGAUUGGAAUGAAAAAAAUGAAUAUAAAAAGUAUAAUUGUUUGAGUUAUAAGUUCGGUAAUGCUCCGUAACCCUAUUUCAACGUCGAAUACGGGUUAGGGGUGUUACAUGAUAACCCCUUGGAGUAUAGCUCAUUUUUUAAUGCGUAUAAGAAGCCACCUCGAUCAAUCGAUUGUUGCCAAAAAAUGAAGGAACAAGCACCAUGCUAUUGUGAGUACAUGAAGAUAGAAGAUGCCAAACGUGUUUUUGAUAGAUUUGAGAUUGCAGAAAUGGCUAAAUUGUGUGGAGUUUCAUAUUCUUUCACCUGCUAGAGUCCCGUUUGGUUUCAUUUGACUAUCUCUGGCCAGGAUAACUUGGCAUCUCAAUAAAUGAUAAUUUUAUUUGAAAGCUAUUUUUUUACUCAUUAUUUCGACUAUAAUGUACUUGUGUUCUUUUUUUUUUCCGGAAUGAUACUGGUGGUUUGCUAUCAUUUACCUUUAUUAUCUUGAUUCAUGUUACAUAUGUGCUAAAAGAACUACACAAUGAUCUAGAUUUAGUUUGAAUCGUACUAGAUUGGUUUGAUUGGAAACUGAUCUGGAUACCAACAUAAUUAGAGGGGUUAGAUUGAUUGACCCACGAACCAAUAAAGGCUAGUUGAAACGAUUUUCUCUAUUUCUUUAAAAAUAUUUUUAUAUUUAUUUAAAUUAUUAAAUAAUUUAAUUAAUUAAACGUACACUAGUAGUCACUCAACUUUUAGUAAAUUUCUUUUUUUCUCAUCGAAUUAUGAAAAAUUACAAAAUGAUCAACCAACUAUUCAAUUUUCUAUUUUUUGAUCUCUAGUUAGCUAAUGGUGGCAGCUAGACUUGUUAAUUGGCCGGAUUACUUGCCCAAGUCCGACGGCCCGCUUGAAAAAUGGAAGGUUUUGGACAAAUACACGAUGCCGAAAAAUGGGCUUGGGUAAAAGUUAAGGCCUAUUUUCUAUAUGAGUCGGGAUCUGUGCAAAUAUUUUUCACCCGAGCACAAUCUGACCCGAAUAUAUUAUGUUUUAAAAAUAAUUAUAUUAAUUAUAUAUGUUAAAUAAUAAUUAUAUAUUUAUAUAUAUUGAAUUACUAACCCAAUAAUAACUAAACCCAUUACCCAAAACCUAAAAAAAACUUAGCCAACUAAAUAAUUGGCUUCAGCUAUUCCUAAAGCUCGUCAAUUAGUUAACCAUAGACAUAUUUUAGUUAAUGGCUUACAGUAGAUAUGCCAAGUUAUCAUUGUAAGCCUCGAGGUAUUAUUUCAACGAGGGAUGAACAAAAUUCUAGAACUCUGAUUCAAAAUUAUCUUGAUUCAUCCACCAAUGAGGAAUUACCAAAACAUUUGACCCUUCACACAUUACUAUAUAAAGGAUUAGUCAAUUAAAUAAUAGAUGGAUAAUGGGUUGGUUUGAAAAUAAAUGGAUUGCUUGUCAUAGAAUAUUAUUCUCGUCAGAACUAAAAAUAUAAAAUUUUAAAUUUUUUAUUUAAUACAAUAAAACAUUUAUCAUAUUUAUGGUAGCGUUUUUUAAAGAAUUUUUAAUGUGGUAUGAAACACUCAGUUGAUGAAACUUAUUUAGUGGUAGAUUCAAUAGACUAUUAGGUCAUUAAUUCUGAAGUCAUUAAUAAUAUUUGUGUUUAUUGCUGGGGUUCAAGUAAACGAGAAGCCUUCGUGAUAAGGAUCUCCCGUUGCGAACUGGGGAUGGGAGAAAUGUAGCGGCAAAAGUAGUGGGAGAAGCACAUUUGUAUUUUGAUAAUUUUAGGAAAUUUAUUUUAAAUGAUAUUUUUUAUGUACAUAGUUUUAGGAGAAAUUUAAUUUUUGUUGCAUGUUUAUUUAAAGAAAGUUUUUCUAUGACUUCUAAUAAAAGGAUUGCAAUUCAUAAAAAUCAUGUUCUUAUCCGUAAUGGAUGACUGCAAAAUAAUAUUUAUUUUAUUACACAAAAGAGCCACUCACUGCUUGAAACCAAACUUGUGAAUAAGAAACUUAAAACAUCUCACUUUAAUACUUAAGAUAUUUAAGACUUAGUCGCGUUAAACAAUAAAGAAUGAAUAAACUUUUUAAAGAUGGAACUUUAAGCUCACUUAAAGAGAUACAUCUUCCACCAUGUGAAUCUUGUUGCAAAGGUAAAAUGACCAAGCAAUCUUCUAAUGCAAAAGGUACAAGGGUUGUUCAAUCAUUAAAACUUGUACAUACCGACGUAUGUGGUCCCAUGAACGUUAGUGUGAGAUUUGGUUACAAUUAUUAUGUAAACUUUUUAGAUAUUUAUUCCAGAUACUGGUAUAUGUACCUAAUGCACCACAAGAGUGAAACUUUUAAAAAAUUUCAAGAGUUUAGUGUGAAAGUGUAAAAACAAUUAGGUUUACCCAUUAAGACACUUCCGUUUGACCGACGUGGGGAAUACUUAUUGGAUGAGUUCAUAGGAUACCUCAUAGAGAAUGAGAUAUUAUCCCAAUUAACUGUGUAAGGUACUCCACAAUAGAAUAGCGUGGCACAAAGAUGGAACAAAACCUUGCUUGAUAUGAUUUAUUCAACGUUAAGUUAUUCAAAACUAUUGAUAUCAUUCUGGGGGUAAGCAUUACUAAUGACUUCCUAUAUUCUAAAUUACAUACAAACUAAGGUAGCACCUUAGGAUCCAUAUGAAAUUUGGCACGACAUGAAGCCAGGUCUAAAUCAUUUUAGGAAUUGGGGAUGCCCAACCUACGUGUCGGCUAAAGAUGCAAAAAAGUUGGAAGCACAAAUAGAAUUGUGCAUGUUUGUUGGAUGUCCAAAAUGGAGUAAGGGUGGAUAAUUUUAUAACCCAAAAUACCUAACGGUUAAGGUUUCGACUUAUGCUAAUUUUCUUGAGAAAAUCUACAUUAACAAUUUUAAACUUCGAAGUAGAUUGUUACUUCAGAAAAUUUCAAGAAAAUUAGCUUAUUUUUCGAUGACUAGUAAGUCAUUUUCUGUGAAACAAACUCACUUGAAGGAAAAUGAAUAAGAGGAUAAUAAAUUAUAAACAGUGAUCUAAAAAAUUUUACUCAUACCAUCAUUUUAAUUGAUUUUAUUAGUAAUUUUCAUUUUCUAUUUUACUUUUUUUAGUGACUCUUUAAAUAAUUAAGACCAUUAAAAAUAAACCAUAACAACUAAAAUUUAAAUUUUAAUAUUAUAGAAAAACCAUAUAUUUUAAUUUCAAUUUUAAAUCUUCAAAAAUGGUAAACCUAACAACAUCCUUUUACCAAAUUACACAUUACACGUAUUGUCAAAACUCUCGGCAACUAAUAAUCCAACGGCUAUACAUUGGCCAAAUUUCAUGGGAAAAAAAAACAUGUCAACACAAAAUUACCCUUAGUAGUGCCUAGCUAGCAAACUUUUUAUUUAAAAAAACCAUGAAGAGGUUUUCCCUUAUUUGUUUUGUGCGUGGUGAACUCUAGUAGGUGGUGUUAUUUUCAGGUGCAGAGACAGCGCCAGUGCCAAAUGUGAUAACCCCUUGGAGUAUAGCUCAUGCUUGAACGCGUAUAAGAAAGCCACCUCCAUCAGCUGGUGUUGCCAGAAAAUGAAGGAACCAGCACCAUGCUAUGUGAGUACAUGAAGAUAGAAGAUGUCAAACGUGUUUUUGACAGAGUUGAGAUUGCGAAAAUGGCUAAAUUGUGUGGAGUUUCAUAUUCUUCCACCUGCUAGAAUCCCAUUUGGUUUCAUUUGACUAUCUCUGGCUAGGAUAACCUGGCAUCUCAAUAAAUAAAAUUUUAUUUGAAAACUAUUUUUUACUCAUAAUUUCGACUAUAAUGUACUUGUGUCCUUUUUUUUGGAAUGAUACUGGUCAUUUGCUAUUAUUUACCUUUAUUGUCUUGAUUCAUGUUACAUAUGUGCUAAAAGAACUACACAAUGAUCUAGAUUUUGUUUGAACCGUAUUGGAUUGGUUGGAUUUGGAAAUUGAUCUGGAUACCAAUAUAAUUUGAAGGGUUAGAUUGGUUGACCCACGAACCAAUGGAGACUAGUUGAAACGGUUUUCUUUAUUUCUUAAAAAAUAUUUUUAUAUUUAUUUAAAUUAUUAAAUAAUUUAUUUAAUCAAACUAGACGAACAAGUCGAAAUGAAAAAUAUUUAUUUGACUGAUUCGAUCAUCGGUCCAGUUCUGAAAACAUUGUUCUGAAAAUAUGUUAUUCGAAUAUUUAUUUGGGUAAAGUACACUAGUAGUCACUCAACUUUUAGUAAAUUUCUUUUUUUUCUCAUCGAAUUAUGAAAAAUUACAAAAUGAUCACCCAACUAUUCAAUUUUUUUUCUUUUUUGAUCUCAGUUAGCUAAUGGUGGUAGUUAGACUUGUUAAUUGGCUAGGUUACCUACUCAAGUCCGACGGCCUGCUUGAAAAAUGAAAGGGUUUAGACAAAUACAUGAUGCCGAAAAAUGGGCUUGGGUAAAAUUUAAGGCCUAUGUUCUAUAUGGGUCGAGAUUUGUGCAAAUUAUUUUGACUUGAUCCUAGUCCGACCCGAAUAUAUUAUGUUAUAAAAAAUAAUUAUAUUAAUUAUAUAUGUUAAAUAAUUAUUAUAUUUUUUAUAUUUAUAUUAAAUUAUUAACCCAAUAACAAUUAAACUCAUUACCCAAGCCCUAAAAAAAACCUUACCCAACUAAAUAAUUGGCUUCGACUAUUCCUAAAGCCUGUCAAGUAGUUAACCAUAGACAUAUUUUAGUUAAUGGUGUACAGUAGUUAUACCAAGUCAUCGUUGCAAGCUCCGAGAUAUUAUUUUAGCGACGGAUGAACAAAAUUCUAGAACUCUGAUUCAAAAUUACUUUGAUUCAUCCACCAAUGAGGAAUUACCAAAACAUUUGACCCUUCACACAUUACUAUAUAAAGGAUUGGUCAAUCAAAUAAUAGAUAGGAAAUGGGUUGGUUUGAAAAUAAAUGGAUUGAUUGUCGUAGAAUAUUAUUCUCAUCGGAACUCAAAAUAUAAAAUUUUAUUUAAUACAAUAAAACAUUUAUUAUAUUUAUUGUAGUGUUUUUUAAUGAAUUUUUAAUGUGGUAUGAAACUCUUAGUUGAUGUAACUUGUUUAGUUCUAGAUUCAAUAUACUAUUAGGUCAUUAAUCCUGAAGCCAUUAAUCAUAUUUCUUUUUAUUACAGGGGUUCAAGUAGAACAGAAGCCUUCGUGAUAAGGAUUUCUCGUUGCGAACUAGAGAUGAGAGAAAUGUAACGGCAAAAGUAGUGGGAGAAAUACAUUUGUAUUUUGAUAAUUUUAGAAAAAAUAUUUUAAAUGACAUUUUUAUGUACCUAGUUUUCCUGUGACUUCUAAUAAAGGAACUUCAAUUCAUAAAAAUCAUGUUCUUAUCCGUAAUGGAUGGAUGCAAAAUAAUAUUUAUUUUAUUAAACAAAAGAGCUACUCACUGCUUGAAACCGAGCUUGUGAAUAAGAAACUUAAAACUUCUCACUCUAAUACUUAUGAUAUUUAAGACUUAGUCGUGUUAAACAAGAAAGAAUGAAUAAACUUUUUAAAGAUGAGACUUUGAGCUCACUUAAAGAGGCAUAUCUUCUACAAUGUGAAUCUCGCUUGAAAAGUAAAAUGAUCAAGAAAUCUUCCAAUGCAAAAGGUACAAGGGUUAUUCAAUUAUUAAAACUUAUGCAUACUGACGUAUGUGAUCCCCUGAAUGUUAGUUUGAGAUUGAUUACAAUUAUUAUGUAAACUUUUUAGAUAUGUAUUCCAGAUAUUUUUAUGUGUAUCUAAUGCACCACAAGAGUGAAACUUUUAAAAAUUUUCAAGAGUUUAAUGUGAAAGUGGAUAAACAAUUAGGUUUACCCAUUAAGACACUUCGGUUUGACCGACGUGAGGAAUACUUAUUGGACGAGUUCAUAGGAUACCACAUAGAGAAUAAGAUACUAUCUCAAUUAACUAUGUGGGGUAAUCCACAACAAAAUAGCGUGGCAGAGAGAUGGAACAAAACCUUGCUUGAUAUGGUUUAUUCAAUGUUAAGUUAUUCACAACUGUCGAUAUCAUUCUGGGUUUAAGCAUUACUAACGACUUGCUACAUUCUAAAUUACAUAAAAACUAAGGCAACACCUCAAGAUCCAUUCGAAAUGUGGCACAGCAUGAAGCCAGGCUGAAAUCAUUUUUGGAAUUGGGGAUGCCCAACCUACAUGUCGGCUAAAGAUGCAAAAAAGUUGAAAGUACAGAUAGAAUUGUGCAUGUUUGUUGGCUAUCCAAAACGGAGCAACGGUGAAUAAUAUUAUAACCCAAAAGACCAAACGGUUAAGGUUUCAACUUAUGCUACUUUCCUUGAGGAAAUAUACAUUAACAAUUUUAAACUUCGAAGUAGAUUGUUACUUCAAAAAAUUUCAGGAAAAUGAACUUAUUUUUUGAUGACUUGUAAGUCAUUUUCCGUAAAACAAACGCAUCUGAAGGAAAAUGAAGAAGAGGAUAAUAAUUUUAUAAAUAGUGAUCUAAAAAAUUUUACUCAUACCAUAAUUUUGAUUUAAUUUAUUAGUGAUUUUCAUUUUCUAUUUUACUUUUUUUAGUGACUCUUUAAAUAAUUGAGACCAUUAAAAAUAAACCAUAACAACUAAAAUUAAAAAUUUAAUAUUCUAAAAAAAACCAUAUAUUUUAAUUUCAAUUUUAAAUUUAAAUUGUUCAAAGAUUAAGCUAUUUUCUCGGCUUUGUAGGCACAUUUCAAAAAUUUUUUACCACAAUUUAUCUCUCUCAAAAAUAGUAAACCUAACAACAUCCUUUUACCAAAUUUACACAUUUACACGUAUUGUCCAAAACUCUCGGCAAUUAAUAAUCCAACUGCUAUAAAUUGUGCCAAAUUUCAAUGGAAAAAACACACAACACAAAUUACCAUUAUUAGUCUCCCAACUAGCAAAAUUUUUAUUUAAAGAAACAUGAAGAGGUUUUCCCUUAUUGUUUUGUGCGUGGUGACUCUAGUAGUGGUGUUAUUUUCGGGUGCAGAGGCAGCGCCAGCGCCGAAAUGUGAUAACCCCUUGGAGUAUAGCUCAUGCUUGAACGCGUAUAAGAAGCCACCUCCAUCAUCUGGUUGUUGCCAAAAAAUGAAGGAACAGGCGCCAUGCUAUUGUGAGUACAUGAAGAUAGAAGAUGUCAAACGUGUUUUUGACAGAGUUGAGAUUGCAAAAAUGGCUAAAUUGUGUGGAGUUUCAUAUUCUUCCACCUGCUAGAAUCCCGUUUGGUUUCAAUUGACUAUCGCUGGCUGGGAUAACCUGGCAUCUCAAUAAACGAAAUUUUAUUUGAAAACUAUUUUUUGUACUCAUAAUUUCGACUAUAAUGCACUUGUGUUCUUUUUUUUUUUUGGAAUGAUACUGGUCAUUUGCUAUUAUUUACCUUUAUUGUCUUGAUUCAAGUUACAUAUGUGCUAAAAGAACUACACAAUGAUCUAGAUUUUGUUUGAACCGUACUGGAUUGGUUGGAUUGAAAACUGAUCUAGAUACCGAUAUAAUUAGAGAGGUUAGAUUAGUUGACCCACGAACCAAUGGAG